GUACACGUGCACGGAUACGCUC
rnacentral:miRNA from 1 species